UACGUAGGGUCCGAGCGUUGUCCGGAAUCACUGGGCGUAAAGGGUGCGUAGGCGGCCGUGCAAGUCUGGCGUGAAAGCCCCGGGCUCAGCCCGGGAAGUGCGCUCGAAACUGCGCGGCUCGAGUGCCGGAGGGGAGAGUGGAAUUCCUGGUGUAGCGGUGAAAUGCGUAGAUAUCAGGAGGAAUACCGGUGGCGAAAGCGACUCUCUGGACGGCAACUGGACGCUGAGGCGCGAAAGCUAGGGGAGCAAACGGG
rnacentral:rRNA from 1 species